rnacentral:other from 1 species
UUCCCUCUGCCGACUAUCGUGAGGUCAUCGACGAUUGAAUCCCGAGUAAGCGUGAACCAGGGGGCCCACUCGAUUACCGUGGUGAGCUAGGCCCGGACUUUUUCACCGGGAAGCCUAAAGCGGUACAGAGGCCCCCACCUAGCAGCGAUGCUAGGGGUUCAAGUCGAUCUCCCACGUCCUCGGUGGUACGGAA